rnacentral:rRNA from 1 species
UACGGGGGGGAGCAAGCGUUGUUCGGAUUUACUGGGCGUAAAGGGCGCGUAGGCGGCCACUGCAAGUCGGUUGUGAAAUCUCCGGGCUUAACCCGGAAAGGUCAAUCGAUACUGCAGGGCUAGAGUGCAGAAGGGGCAACUGGAAUUCUCGGUGUAGCGGUGAAAUGCGUAGAUAUCGAGAGGAACACCUGCGGCGAAGGCGGGUUGCUGGGCUGACACUGACGCUGAAGCGCGAAAGCUAGGGGGAGCGAACGGG